AAGAUCCCAGGGAGUAGAUUUCUGUUGCUAGUCACAUCACAUGGUCUUUUUGUAAAAUAGUAUAAAAUUUCUAAAUUUAAAUUCUUUACAUAAAUAAUGUGCUCGAUAAUUAAUUCAAAACGGAUAAAAAGGAAUGGAAAGGGUACCCUUCUGUUAAUAGUCACGUCUUAUAACUUAUGUUCCACAAAAAAAUAAAAAGAAGAAAUCAAAUAGGC
rnacentral:lncRNA from 1 species